UACGUAGGGUGCAAGCGUUGUCCGGAAUUAUUGGGCGUAAAGAGCUCGUAGGCGGUCUGUCGCGUCUGCUGUGAAAACUCAGGGCUUAACCCUGAGCUUGCAGUGGGUACGGGCAGACUAGAGUGCGGUAGGGGAGACUGGAAUUCCUGGUGUAGCGGUGAAAUGCGCAGAUAUCAGGAAGAACACCCCGUGGCGGAAGGCGGCUC
rnacentral:rRNA from 1 species